UUUAUAGCCCACUUCAGGAGGACGUAGACUCCAAGGCAGAAUACCGUUGACUAGAAGUCCACACCUCCUGAUUGGGUCAGGCAUUGUUAUGUCAUUAAGUGAUGUCACAGCUGAAGACAGGAGGGAUUGGAACUACAAAGAGAGCCACAGGCAGAAACACCCAGUACAGUGGACAAGGGUAAACAGGCAAAGGGAACAAGGAAUGGGAGAGAUAAGGAGAACCUCUAUUAUGGGCACAGGUGAAUACUUCGCAAGUUUAAGUGUCCCACCAUCGGGAGGUGUAAGCCCCAGAGCCGCAGCUGAUUGGCCCGGUUCUCCGACCUCCUGGUUCUUCAGCUGGUUGUUCACUUAGGACGACCAAGGAAGCUGCUGGGUGCGUCAGGAAAAAGGUGGACAUGGCACUGGAGCCAGACAUGCAUACAAAAUAAGUGUCGUCUCAGCUUUUCCCAGGUUGCAGUGCGACCCAAAACAUUGGACUCACAAUACGACCAUAUAGUCCCAAAAACAAGCACAGAUUCUUCCUAUGCAUGUCCAUUACUGUCUGACAGUGAACCUGAGUAACCAGACUCAACAAAUCAUGCUCCUUUUGGGACUUGCAGACUGACCAUCCCCGCACUGGGGCAGAUCAUAAGGGACCAUUACAUGGAGGGGACCAUGAUCCAUUCAGGUGGUAAGUACUCACAUUACUCACAAUUUAUGGGUCUCAUGGGUGCAAAAAUUUAUAAUAAUUCCCCUUUUAGUUCAUCCAGCCAUGGACCUUUACAAGAUUGAUAGUGUUGCUCACAUGAAAUAGCUACGUUGACUGGAGCCAAUCUGUGGUCAGAUCAAUUGCAUGUGCAGUGUAGACAAAGUUCGUGGUAUUCCGAGCAGGGAAGCACCCCUUAAUCCGACUGGGUCACGGAGCGCUUCACCGAAAUUACGGGACACAGUACAGGUGAAGAGUAGGGGUGAAAACAUUUAUUCUUCACAGUGCAGGUACAAAUAGGACAGUACAAGUACUUUUUGCUAUUGCGUUCCUUAUGGUAAA